rnacentral:rRNA from 1 species
UGUAGUCAUAUGCUUGUCUCAAAGAUUAAGCCAUGCAUGUCUAAGUAUAAGCAAUUAUACCGCGAAACUGCGAAUGGCUCAUUAUAUAAGUUAUCGUUUAUUUGAUAAUACUUUACUACUUGGAUAACCGUGGUAAUUCUAGAGCUAAUACAUGCUGAAAAUCCCGACUUCGGAAGGGAUGUAUUUAUUAGAUUAAAAACCAAUGCCCCUCGGGGCUCUCUGGUGAAUCAUGAUAACCAGUCGAAUCGACAGGCCUUGUGCCGGCGAUGGCUCAUUCAAAUUUCUUCCCUAUCAACUUUCGAUGUUUGGGUAUUGGCCAAACAUGGUGGCAACGGGUAACGGGGAAUA